GUGCACGCUGGCGGUAGGCCUAACACAUGCAAGUCGAACGGCAGCACAGUAAGAGCUUGCUCUUACGGGUGGCGAGUGGCGGACGGGUGAGGAAUACAUCGAAAUCUACUUUUUCGUGGGGGAUAACGUAGGGAAACUUACGCUAAUACCGCAUACGACCUACGGGUGAAAGCAGGGGAUCUUCGGACCUUGCGCGAUUGAAUGAGCCGAUGUCGGAUUAGCUAGUUGGCGGGGUAAAGGCCCACCAAGGCGACGAUCCGUAGCUGGUCUGAGAGGAUGAUCAGCCACACUGGAACUGAGACACGGUCCAGACUCCUACGGGAGGCAGCAGUGGGGAAUAUUGGACAAUGGGCGCAAGCCUGAUCCAGCCAUACCGCGUGGGUGAAGAAGGCCUUCGGGUUGUAAAGCCCUUUUGUUGGGAAAGAAAGGCAGCAGGUUAAUACCCCGCUGUUCUGACGGUACCCAAAGAAUAAGCACCGGCUAACUUCGUG
rnacentral:rRNA from 1 species